CUGGCCUGCGGCUCUGCGAUCCCGGUUCCCUGUGGAUUUGUGCAGAGACCUCACGCUUCCUGGGGCCAGAGCCCCGAUCCUCCUGUCCUCAGCCCUGGUACUGGGUACCUCACCCAUGUCAGGGCUUUGAUGAGAACAACCCUGCGGAACAUUCUCUGAAAGCCAAAGACAGGUCCCCGUAGCUCAUCCCGGGCUCGGUCAGAAGGCAGCCGCGGAAUCCUUCUCAACACUUGACAAGGCCUGCCAUUUGAAGUGACCCCUCUGGACCAUGGAGCUGCUGGUCAGUUGUGAAACAUCUCACAAGGAAGAGGACACGGAAGAACUCAGAAGGCCCCCCACCCGACCCCGCCCAAAGGAGGUGGAACACACAUCAGUCCUGGAUCCCUGUGAAUCUGCUCAAUCCCUAAUGGGGCUGACAAGUGCAUUUCUGUUGCCAGAAUCACUCACUUGGGACCAUGUUGGGUCCAGCCAGGAUUCAGGUCCUCCACAUGUGUUUUGGAGUCUCCAGUUCAUGAACAAUUGGCACUGUUGUUUUGAGUGUCUCGUGAGACCACGCAUCAUGGCAGAAGCAUGUGAUGAAGCUACAAAGCAAAGAGAAAAAGGAAGAGACUGGGGUCCCACAAUCCUUUCAGGGACAAACGCCCAAUAUUCUAAAGGCCUCCCAAAAGGCCCCACUUCUUAAAGGCAGCUGCUACCAUGGUGCAGCCACCAUAUGCUCUCUCCUCCGUGCAUGCCAGAGAGCUUAGCACAUGGUAUUCAUUCCACGGAUAGAGGCCCUCAGGGGACCAGGGGACACAACCCAGGUGACAAGCAAGUGCAAGCGUACAAAGGACAACUUUUGAGUGCUGCUGGGCUCCUGCCAAGUGUGAGCUCCGCUGGGGCCCUGGAGUGACCUAGAUGGAUCUGUGUGUGUGGAGUCGCUUCUCUCCAGGACAGGGAGCUCACAAACAACCUGGGGAAGAGGGAAAACAGUCCCUCCUGCAAGCAGCCAGCCACCUCCUCUGCUAAUUGAAAACAAAAAGGGACACUUGUGAAAUUCUGCCCGGAGUGCCAUCGUCACCUCCUGGGGCUCCUGGGCCCUGUGCUGUGUUUAUGGAUAAAUCAGCACAUGCUGUCUUGGCCACGGGAGAGAGGUCUGGGGCAACAGGCUGCAACCCCCAGAGAGGGAGGCCAGGAGCACCACACAAAUUGCACAACACCAUCUUGUCAUCUGUCCCCGUAGCCGAAGGCCCCCAGGAAAACAGAGGCAGCUGACACUGGGCGGGAAGGCCAUCUGGAAGCAGCCCUCGGGGUGUAAGCCAUCCUCAGAGUGCUGUCUGGCCUCCAAUGCACCGGGGACAAUGGUGUCCUUGCUGCUGUUGGCCUGAGUCUCCCCCUUUGCCAGGGGUGCACGGGCGCCUCAGCGUGCAGAGAUCAGAGGUGUCCUCUGCCCCGUUCUGCAGGUUCAGCCGCAAGUUCUCGUCUCAUUCACCAGUGGCUGCUGCCUCCCUGUCUCCCUGUGGCUGCUCUGGCCUCUGUCUGAGGCUGUGAUGAAAGGGAUGCUUCAGCUGUUCCCACAUGGCAUUGAGCAAUGUGUCCCACGGGCUACUCGUGAAGAUCUGGGGACUGUGUGACCAAGUCUCACCGGGCACCUUGCAGGGCCAGACAGACUCAGGCCCCUCUCCUGUGCCUUCCUGCUGCUCACGCGAGCUCCCUGUAGCUUCUAGAAGAGAAUCCAGGAGUUCUUUAGCUGCCCCAAGCAGUGGCCUCGGGACCCUGGGGACCUGACCCUGUGCAGCAGCUGAGCAAACACUAUCAGCUCUGCGCAGAGGCGAGUGAUGCCCGUGGGGGUCCCGCUUGGCCUUAAGACUCAACAUGUGUCCAAGUGUGAGUAUUCCUUACCCACAGAUCUGCCUGCCUCAGAGUUGCUCCCCAGGGUGCUGGGAGCAGAGGAGUCGGGCAGAGGAACUAGACCUGCUUGGGAUCCCUGAGCAGCCCUUUGAGAGGGUCCAAGACAAGCUGGACGACCACGGACCCAGGGACUAACCUCAACUCCCCCCCACAACAGUAAACCCAGAAAAUGGGCCUGGGAAUCCCCAGGAUGGAGCUUUGAGGUCCCUUGCCUGGUCAUAAGCUGAACUUCCCUGUGCAUGGGCCUGGGUAAGCACAGGGCUCUACUCUUGCCUGUGGCACAUGGUCCUUUCGUGUUGCUGAUUUUCAAAAAUUGAGCAUUUCCCUUGAAUUCCAAGCAUCUUGGGUUAAGGACACGCCUUGUGUGGAUCGCAGAAUCUGAAUUCCCCUUCCACCACCAGCUGUGUGACUUUGGGUAAAGCACAUGAUGUCUCUGGGCCUUGCCCUCCCACUGGGAUGCUGCUGCCUCCUUCAGAGGCUGUUGGGAAGAAAUAGGAUUCUCUGACAGCAGAAAAGCAUGAAGCAGGCCAGUUUCUACAUUGUUGGCCCCUGUCUUCUUCCUUACUGAAGAAGAACAGUGGGUGGAAAUGGCUUUUAAGAGCAGUAUCUGGGCCGCGGGUGCGGUGGCACAUGCCUGUAAUCCAGCCACUCAGGAGGCUGAGGCAGGAGGAUCGCGAGUUCAAAGCCAGUCUCAGCAAUAGCAAGGCGCGGGGCUGGGGAUGUGGCUCAAGCGGUAGCGCGCUCACUUGGCAUGCGUGCGGCCCGGGUUGGAUCCUCAGAACCACAUACAAACAAAGAUGUUGUGUCCGCCAAAAACUGAAAAAUAAAUAUUAAAAAUUAAAAAAACAAUAGCAAGGCGCAACUCAGUGAGACCCUGGCUCUGAAUAAAAUCAGAAUAGGGCUGGGGGUGUGGCUGGCUGAGUGGUGGAGUGCCCCUGAGUUCAAUCCCUGGUGCCAGAAACAGAACAAGGCCGCCCCUGGCGGGGAGGGGAGCAGGAGUGUGGGUCUGGGGCUCCUGCAGUCCUCUGACGUGAGCCUGAGGGACAGCAGCAAGAAAGAAGAGUCAGCUCUCUGUUCUGCACCCAUUUCUUGCCCCCUACCUGCUUGGGGGCUGGGCGGGGCUGCAGAUUCCAAGCCCAGAGGCCUUUCCCCAGAGCCGGCGGCUAGGUGGAGAGUGACAUUUGGUUGGUUUCGGAUUUUGAAAUACAGGAAUCAGUCAAAAGCCAAGCUUUACUAGUGCGAGUGGUUUAUCGGGGCCCGCUGGAUUUGGAAAUCCACAACAGGACGCUUUGGAGACCCGCAUGGGGCCAGCCCUCUCCACAUAACCAGUGGUGAUAAGGGGUGGGGUGGGGGGCUCUGAGGAGGAGCCAGGCUGGUGGCAAAAAAAUGACAAACAAAAAAUAAAGCAAAGGA